rnacentral:rRNA from 1 species
UACGUAGGGUGCGAGCGUUGUCCGGAAUUAUUGGGCGUAAAGGGCUCGUAGGCGGUUUGUCGCGUCGGGGGUGAAAACUCAGGGCUUAACCCUGAGCCUGCUUCCGAUACGGGCAGACUAGAGGUAUGCAGGGGAGAACGGAAUUCCUGGUGUAGCGGUGAAAUGCGCAGAUAUCAGGAGGAACACCGGUGGCGAAGGCGGUUCUCUGGGCAUUACCUGACGCUGAGGAGCGAAAGUGUGGGGAGCGAACAGG